UACACUCCUACGGGAGGCAGCAGUGGGGAAUAUUGCACAAUGGGCGCAAGCCUGAUGCAGCCAUGCCGCGUGUAUGAAGAAGGCCUUCGGGUUGUAAAGUACUUUCAGCGGGGAGGAAGGCAAUACGGUUAAUAACCGUGUUGAUUGACGUUACCCGCAGAAGAAGCACCGGCUAACUCCGUGCCAGCAGCCGCGGUAAUACGGAGGGUGCAAGCGUUAAUCGGAAUUACUGGGCGUAAAGCGCACGCAGGCGGUCUGUCAAGUCGGAUGUGAAAUCCCCGGGCUCAACCUGGGAACUGCAUUCGAAACUGGCAGGCUUGAGUCUUGUAGAGGGGGGUAGAAUUCCAGGUGUAGCGGUGAAAUGCGUAGAGAUCUGGAGGAAUACCGGUGGCGAAGGCGGCCCCCUGGACAAAGACUGACGCUCAGGUGCGAAAGCGUGGGGAGCAAACAGGAUUAGAUACCCCAGUAGUCCCAUG
rnacentral:rRNA from 1 species